AAUGUCAUCUGAUAGUUAAACUGCUGUAUUUUUUCCAGACUUCUUUCAUUAGAGAGACUGAUGACUAUUACUACAAAUAUCCCACAGAAUAUUCAGUUGUGCUGGAAGGAGGGUGAAAAUGAUAUGCCAGAAGCUAUGCAAGAGAUGAUGCACAUUAUUCUAAUUUUAUGAGGUUGGAGAUCUUGGGAAAAGCAGAGUUUUAUAAUGCCACUCCCUGCAAUAAUUAAGAAAGUGUGUGUCUGAUUUAUGUGUAUGUGGUGGGAAGCUGGAGAAAUUGACUGAAAAUACCAUGGAAAACAGAAUCUAUGUCAAAAUGAUCUGCCCAAAACUCCAGUUCAAGUUUAUUCUUAAAAUUGAAAAAUGUCUUUCUCUGCUUUGGUUGUCAGCCAUUGUUUUCUCUUUUGCUCACAGUAGUUUGAGGUUAGCUAAAAAGAAGUGUAGUCAGUGAAAAAGCAGCCUAAUAAGACAUCAGUCAGAUGCUUUGUAAAUCUUGCCUCUGAAUGAGACCAGAAAUCAGAUCAUGUUUCUUUACUUCAUACUAAGGACUGGCAUGAUUCAGCAGGUAAGUUAGGUGUAUGCUUGCAGCUGAAAUAACUUUUUUUGAGAAAGAAGUCAUCUUUGUGUUUGGAGGAUUUCCUAUUUUGAUGACUCAGGGACAGAGAACAGUGGCAGGUUUAUGUACAGCGUUGACUUGAGGUCAGGGACAGCUGUGUGUUUACAGACCUUGAGGUAGAAUUUGGUAGGGCAACUCUAUUUUUCAAGACCUUUCUUUUUCCUGCCUUUAAGUGCAGCUCAGGAUUCAGUCUUCAAAUGACUGUAGACAGUGAAAUUAAGUCACUUGAAUUGAGUAUAUUUUUUGUAUUUUGUGAGUUGCUUUUUUUGAUGAUUUGCUCUGCACUUGUUCCAAGAGCAUAUAGGGAAAGCAAGCUCUCAAUUUCUAGAAGAAAUUACACAUAAAAUUUUUUUGUUUGCCACUGGAAGUGCAGGGACAGUAAAUUAAUACUUCUUAUCCUCAUAACUGUUAAUUAACGUGUCAAGAUGUGUUGCAGGAUUGAUGAGACUGCCUCAUCUGGCAGUGUUUUCAAGGGAAUAACAUAGCUAAAGACUCUGGGUUUUUCUCUCAAUUCUUCUCCAUUUUCUCCAGCAAAUUAUGGAUUUUACUCUGACCUCACUUCCAGUUGUUUUAGAUGUUGAAUAAUAAUGUUUUGACUUAAUACAGGAUUCAGUUGGCAAACUGAAAGUGGAACUAUUGUGUAUCUCAUAUUUCCUGUUGUUUAUGUCCACUGUAAAUAUUAUGUUCUGGUUUGGGCAUCUUUAUAUGCAGCAUUAAUCAACUCUUUAUUCAUUUAAACUUUAUAACAAAUGUGAAAACUUGUUCAAUUGCCUGGUUCAUAGCUCAUUAAUAUCAGUGGUAGGAUUCCCAUUAAUGGCAGUGAUAACUAGAUAAUAAUUAUUGUUAACUUAAUAGUCUGGGCUUGAAGUGUGGAAGUAAAUAGCAAUUUGGAGUGUUUGAUGGUUUUUGUUAUUGUGCUUUUCUGUUUUUCCCCCAAGAAGAUCAAGGAAAAGAAACAUUAGAACAUUUUUAUUUGUUUACUAGCUACAAGUGAGCAGAGGAAUUAAAGCUGUGUAUAUUGGUAUCUAUAUGUAAAAAUGAAAGCACAGUAUCUGUAGAGUCAGUUCUUUCUAAAAGUAAUUUAGUUUGUAUGCUAAUAACAUUUAAAUGUGACAUUUACAUUCUAUAGCAAAAAUAUGUAGCUGGUGGAUACAGAUUAUUAAAGUUUAGCUAAGUCUUUUAAACCUAAAUAGGGUAACCUAAUUAAAGUGAAGCAAGAGAAAAUAAAUGUUUUCCAAGUUCAUUUUCCUACAUGCUUCUUUCUUUAAAGAAAGAAACCACUAAAUAUCUCUUGGGUAUGUGGUCUGUGAUUUCUCUGCUUGGUAGCACAGAGAAAACAUUACCAGGUGCUCAACCCGGAACUAAGACUCUUGUGUUGAGAUUACAACUGAAGACAGACUUAAUCACCUUUUUUGUUUUCUGUGUUGACAAAAAUUACAGAAGUAGCACCUUAUUCUGCAGGAAAUUUGUAAGUAUGUGUCAAAUGCAGAAAUACUCUGUUUUGGACAUGGCAGAGAGGGAGCCUGUCUUCUCCAUCUUCAGCAGUCCAAUUAUUGCCACAGUCGUGUGAAUAAGAGAAGUCAGCAGUCAGAAGUGUGUUUCAGUGUGACAGAAGUUUUUGCUACAGGAUCCCAGCAGGCAGGGAAGAAUGAGACCUCCUCUAUGAUUGGGAAGCAGAAUCUAUGGCCACCUGCACACCACUUUGCCUGUAAAACAAGGACACUGAGCACUGAUGAGGAAUAGCAGGAACACAAGAGGUUUUCCUGGGAAUGCAUCCAAGGAGCGCUGGUGGAGGCUCUCUAGUUAAUCACUUUGUCAAAAGGAGUACUUUUUCCAAUGUGCAACAUUAUUCACUUAACUUUUCAUUAGGCCUUUCCAUAUGCAAACAAGAGCCUCGCAGUGAGACAAUCUGUCUUUUGGACACCAGGUUGUCAUCAGAAAUCUCACCAUCACUUCUUCACCUGCUCAUGUGGUACCCAGCUGUGCCUUGUUGGCCCUGUUUUUACCUGGAGUGUGAGAUUUGCUGUUCAGAGGGGAUGAUUUUCACCGACUGUAAUGUUUUAAGCUCAUGUGAUAAACUCUUGCUCUAAUGGAAAACCAGUUAAAAAGCAGACCUGGGAGCAGCAAUACCAGCCUGUCACUCAACACUGCUCUCCUCGAGUAGAUGCACUUUUCUCAGCUAUUCACAGUACUGAAAGUGCCAAGUAUCACAUUCACACUACUUAAGGAAAUCAUUCAUGAAAUGAAAACAUAUUUCCCUGGAUAUUUAUUGACUGUGUGUCCAAGGGGAUCCCAUCAGCAGCCCAAGAGGGAAAUGCGAUUCAGAAUAAUCACAGGAUGAUGCCUUGCAGCUCUCAUUUGCUCUGAGGACACCCAUGAUCUCCAUCAGUUUUCUCAGGUUGGAGGAAGAAAUUGAUCGCGCAGUACAACAAAUUUGGCACAUUCCCAUGGCCCUGAGAUGGUGCUUUCCCUGGAAAGUCCAAAGGCACCUAAAGUGUUUCUCCUCCUAGAUCUUGAAGGAAUACUGAUUUGGCUUCCAUAGUUUAUUUACUGGCAUUGCCUGUGCUGGCUGUAGGAAGACCAUAACAGUGUAGUACUGUAAUGAUGCACUUGGGGGCCUGAUGAGCUCCCAGCAGAUCAUCUGAAGGCUGAUGCCAUGUUGCAGGAAACUUAAGAGAAGCCCUUCAAAUCAUCAGCACAUCUUCUGUGCAAUCUGGUCAGUCUGUGGAAACUGCUGGGUUACUCCUGUUUCUUUGUCUGCUCCAAGGCAAGUGUUUCUGAGUUAGCAAAGGGAACCCAGCACAUUUUCCAGCAUCCAGAAUGGAAGGCUCAGGAGAAAGGCAAACCACUGAUGAGCCAGUAACAGUAAACAGAAAGGAGGAAGAGCAAAGUGAGCAUUUUGGAAGGAAGGCCCAGGUGGAUACCAGGAGGAAGAGCUGACCACUCUCUGGUAGUGGGGUAAUUAAACUUAGAGCAAGCACACACAGCAAGAUCAUGAUGAACUUCUCAGAAAUUAACCAAAUUGUAUUGCACAAAUAUAUAAUCCCUGCUACACUGAAAGUCACAGCAGGAGUGCUUGUCUCAGUCUUGUCUCUGACACUCCUGCUCUUCAGAGAGCUUAAUGCUGUCCAGGGGUGGGGCUGUGACGGAAACCCUUCCUUCCUCCCAGCUGUUUCUCACAUGUUCCAGGACUGCCACAAAGGGGAUUUGGGGUUAGGGUUCUGCUCCUCAGAACAAGCAUCCCUAAGCCUUCUCUACUAGGCCCCUCAUUGUCCUUGUCUCUAUUCUGCAGGGGUUUUGUGUUCUGCCCAAAUCCUCCUGGGAUGGAGGUGCCCACAGCUGAGCCAUCUCCUUCCCACCACUGAGCCGAGUGCCAGCAUUGCUCCAUAUGUUCUACAGAUGACACUUGUUUAUUCUUCCCACAAUGGUUUUCCAUUUUUCCCAGCAGCAUGAUGUUGACUCAUAUCUGUGAUUUAAUAUAUUAUACCUUAAUAGUAGAGGAUUUGUGGGUUUAAUUUUUUUUGCCUUUCUGACUUCUUUAAUAAAAAGAAAGAAGGUGUUUAUAGGAUUACUGGCAGACUUAAGUUUAUUUAAUUUAUUGAUUUUCUCAAUGCUUAGGUUGAAAACCACAUUCACAAAAGUACCUGCUGGCAUCAUGAAUGUCACUAUGACUGGGCUAUCAGAAGAGCUGUACAGCCCUUUUUAAUCAGUAUCAGCAGAGAGGGUUGUGCUUGACUUCAUGCUUGUCUUCUCAAAAUAAUUUUAAUUGUAUUUUUUUGAUUGAUUCUGAUGUCAGAGUUUGAGAGUGAAGCUGAAAAUCUAAUCCUUAUUUCUCUUUCAUUUCUGCAAAACCAAAAGAUUGCUGUCUCCUUGCUGUCUGUGUCCCAGCAAUCUGAACUUGUUUUCAGCCAAAAUAUUAUCUAUGUGUCCAAGCCUUUUCCUCCUGUCAACAAAUCCAUGUUGAUGGAAGGCUCAGUUUUGUUAUUCAUACUUAAAACUGUGUUUUACCUUGCAGGUCUACACUGGAGGCAUUAUGUCAUAAGAAAUAACAGAGAUAAGAAGUCCUGAAUAACCAUAAUCUGUGUGCAAGCUGGCAUGUUUCAAUAGCAUGGACAGGGAUGAAAAGGUGACUCGUGUCUGGGAUCCUGUAACUUUUCCUAAAGGGAAAGAGUGAAGCUGCUGUUGUAGAAGAACUGAAUUCAGUGUUUUCCCUCCCUUCAGAUUGUGAUAGAUGCAGUAGAAUAAUUUGUGUUAUGGUAUAUAUAUAUAUAUACAUAUAUAUUUUUUUUUUGUAUAAUAUGUUUAUGUUGUAAAAUAAAAUGUAUAAGCAGGUUGGGUAUGGAACUGACCAGUUUCAGGAUGAGCAGCUCCCAAAGCCAGGAAUUCAGGAAACAAUACCCCUACCAGGAACCCAGGAUGCACAUCAUUAACACCAGAAUUAAGGGUAGACCAAAAUCAGAAUCAGCCUCCAGGGCGGUGAAACUGUGAAGUACCUGCCAUCAAGGUUAAUACGGUUCAAGGAGAAUGCCCCUCCAUUCAUGAUUUCAUCUUCCCAUUCAUGAUCAGGAGGAAUGAAAUUAAUAUUCAUCUUCCAUCGGAACUCCUAUUCAUAAGACCAGACAGCAGGAAUGAAUGUGAAAAAAAAGGACCUAAGACAAAAGAACUGUGGAGAAAUACUCUGCUGCUGGCAAAAUAAACUUUAUAAAAAAGGACCCCGAAAAGGAUUGAAUUGGUGAACAGGGGGAGUUAUAUUGCGAUAGAGGUCAUAGCUAAGGUUCACCCAGUGCCGAUCCCGGUCUCGACACUGAACUUCCGAUUGUUGAC